AAAUUAAUAUUAAACCUUGUCAAAAAUAGUAUAGACAAGGAGAAUCUGACUGUUUCAUUAAAACAACGCAUUGUGAUGGUCCCUGCGGAUGUUGACACAAUGUCAUUUAUACCCAGUGCUCUACAUGUGAAAGUGAAUAAAUUCAACCAAGUGUGGGUAAACGACGAGAGUAAAUAUGACUCUCUUGAGGUAUUCAUAUGCAUCGUCAUCUAAUUAGUGACAUGGAUGAAUGGAUUAACAAGAUUCCCAAUGUCCCUAGCUACUAUCUAUAGAAACCAGAACCAACGGAUAUUAG
rnacentral:ncRNA from 1 species